rnacentral:rRNA from 1 species
AUUGAACGCUGGCGGCAGGCUUAACACAUGCAAGUCGAGCGGAGAUGAGGUGCUUGCACCUUAUCUUAGCGGCGGACGGGUGAGUAAUGCUUAGGAAUCUGCCUAUUAGUGGGGGACAACAUUCCGAAAGGAAUGCUAAUACCGCAUACGUCCUACGGGAGAAAGCAGGGGAUCGUCGGACCUUGCGCUACUAGAUGAGCCUAAGUCGGAUUAGCUAGUUGGUGGGGUAAAGGCCUACCAAGGCGACGAUCUGUAGCGGGUCUGAGAGGAUGAUCCGCCACACUGGGACUGAGACACGGCCCAGACUCCUACGGGAGGCAGCAGUGGGGAAUAUUGGACAAUGGGGGGAACCCUGAUCCAGCCAUGCCGCGUGUGUGAAGAAGGCCUUAUGGUUGUAAAGCACUUUAAGCGAGGAGGAGGCUACUGAGACUAAUACUCUUGGAUAGUGGACGUUACUCGCAGAAUAAGCACCGGCUAACUCUGUGCCAGCAGCCGCAGUAACAC